UGAGGGCCGGCUCCGUCGUUCUCAAAGGGCAUUAGUAACAACCUCCAGACCUUCCAAAGGCGGAGGCAACGGAAGGGAGGGGGAGGAUGCAAAACCGAGUGCAAACUGCUCCCUACCAGCAGCUUCGCCUCGGUAUCAAGCCCUUUGCAGCUGAGCGAUCUCGGCACAGCCAGCGUCUCCUGGGUACCCUUCAAAGGCCCGUGCGCCGUCAGCACGGAGACUCAGUAGAAGGCGAGGCGGCAGCGAGGACCUUACCCUAGAGGAGCCCGGGAGCCGCAGCCCCUCCCCGCCAGCCCCGUCGGCCGGCUUCGCGCCGCGGAGCACGGGCGGCCCCGGAAGGCGGAUGUGGUUCCGGGUGGCGCGGCGCCAUGGAUUCGCUGUGGCGGCUGAAGCGGUUCGAUGCCUUCCCCAAGACCCUGGAAGAUUUUCGGGUCAAAACGUGCGGGGGCGCGCUGGUGACGGUUGUCAGCGGGCUCAUCGUGGUGCUGCUUUUCUUCUCGGAGCUGCAGUACUACCUCACCAAAGAGGUUCACCCGGAAUUGUACGUUGACAAAUCGAGGGGAGAUAAACUGAAGAUCAACCUGGACGUUAUUUUCCCACAUAUGCCUUGUGCUUAUUUGAGCAUUGAUGCCAUGGAUGUAGCAGGAGAGCAGCAGCUGGAUGUAGAGCACAAUCUGUUUAAACAACGUUUGGAUAAAGCUGGCAAUCGUGUGACUCCAGAGGCUGAGCGACAUGAGCUGGGGAAGGAAGAAGAAAAAGUGUUUGAUCCAGAUUCUUUGGAUGCCGAUCGCUGUGAGAGCUGUUACGGGGCAGAGUCAGAGGACAUUCGGUGUUGUAAUACUUGUGACGAUGUCAGAGAAGCAUACAGGCGGCGAGGCUGGGCCUUCAAGAACCCGGAUAGCAUAGAGCAGUGCAAGAGGGAAGGGUUUAGCCAGAAAAUGCAAGAGCAGAAGAACGAGGGCUGCCAAGUGUAUGGUUUCCUAGAGGUCAACAAGGUAGCUGGAAAUUUCCACUUUGCACCAGGAAAAAGUUUCCAACAGUCUCAUGUCCAUGGUAAAGUAUUUUCUUUUCCUGCUUAUUGUGACCUUUAGCUUCCAAGUGUAUCUGACCAUUUUCUUUGAAUGUCUUUGCACUGCUAUCCAUAAUAGCGAUGACACUGCUGCGGUGAGGAGGGCAUUGUUGAAGUUUUGUUACAGAGGUUUAGAACCAUCGUGAACAAAUAGAAGUGUUUUCUGGAGGUGCUGCCACAUGGGUGUGGAAGAACUUGGGAGGAGAAUGUUUAUGGGCAGUCUGACAGUCUCACUGGUUCCACAGAACUGCUGCUCUGAUGUACAACAACCUCAAGUAAAUGGUUGGAAGGGACCAUUAAAGGCCAUCUAGUCCAACCCCCCUGCAAUGAGCAGGGACAUCUGCAACUAGAUCAGGUUGCUCAGAGCCCCGUCCGGACUGACCCGAGUGUUCCCAGGGAUGGGGCAUCUGCAACUUCUCUGGCAACCUGUUCCAGUGCCUCACCGCCCUCACAGUAAAAAGUUUCUUCCUUAUAUCUGGUCUGAAUCUACCUUCUUUUAGGUGAAAACUAUUCCCCUUCAUCCUAUCGCAACAGGCCCUGUUAAAAAGUCUGUCCCCAUCUUUCUUAUAAGCCUCCUUUAAGUACUGAAAGGCCACAGUCAGGUCUCCCUGGCGCCUUCUCUUCUCCAGGCUGAACAAGCCCAACGUUCUCAGCCUUUGCUCACGGGAGAGGUGCUUCAGCCCUCAGAUCAUCUCCGUGGCUUCCUCUGGACCUGCUCCGACAGGUCCAUGUCUGUCUUGUCCUGAAGACCCCAGAGCUGGACACAGCACUCCAGAUAAUGAAGCAAAAGGUCUCACUCCGGGCACCGUGGCCUUCAAGAUUCUGUAUAGAAACCGCCUAUGUUCUUCUCAGAUGCUGUGUUCUUCUCAGCUGACCACUGGAGGCUGAGCACUUUAUUACUAGAGGUAUUUCUGCAGCAUAGAUGUUGUUCCUGUUUUAUCUUAGUUUUCAUCAUUACUAGAUGGUUUAGUGUGCGUUGCUAUUCAUUCCUCAUCUCAGGUCAUCGAAAUCGUUCUCUCUCGGAGAAUUCACACGGCUGAUCUUACGCCUUGGUGCCAUCCGUAAUGGUGAAUGACCUUUUAGCCAGUGCGUAAACAUACUGCUUGUACUUCUUGGACAGGUGCUCUGUCUGUCUUCAGAGACUGUGAUUCUCCCGGAGAAUCCGAGCUGGAGCUUGGGGAAUUUGCUUUUGAAGCGAGCAGGGACUCUGAUUUUCGUCCCAAGUUACGGGAAGCAUUGAAAACUGGUCGCUUUAAGCCCGCACCGUGAUGCUCCAUCUUCAGAGGGUCAGAGAAGACCCCGGCUCCUCAGUGUCAUACCGGCUGCAGACGGUCUUGUCUUGUUCCUCAGCUCAUCUGCGAUCCAGUUGCACUGAGAAAUCCCCGGUCGUUAGGAGGAGGACGGAAGGAGGUCGUGAGGAGGACUGAAGCGGUACUUCCAAGCAGACUUUUUGGCAGGGAAACUAGUUAGUUGUCCUGGCUCUCCUGCAUCAAGGGAAAACCAGAGUCAAACGUUAUGGCUAUUUACAGUCUUCCGUUCCAAGCAGCACAGCCUCAAGCCCUGCUUAUUCAUUUGGAAGGAGCCGAGACUGGGUUUGCUUCACUCGCGUCUGCUCCGCAGGCUUUGGAUCCUAAACUGAGUUUUUCUGUUGGGUUUAUGCAGGGUGCUGCAGGUUUUGGUGGAGUUGUCUCCUUCCCUUGUGCCUCUGGGAGGACAGCCUCCAGCACCAGCUGUGCCUGUUUGUGAUUCUGGAGAUCAUGGCUGUUUUCUUUGCAGCAGUUCACACCUUCUCGCUUUCCUUCCUGGCUCAGAGAAAAGAGGAAUGAUUGAAUGAUCCAGCUUUGCAGCCUCCGGAGGUUAAGCCACAGGUUCAGGCGCUGCUGCCACAUCUGUCCAUGCCUGUACAGCAGCAGCAGCCGUCUCCCGCUUCAGCUGCGGUGCCUGGCAGCGAGUUUCCAGCACGCGGG